CGUAUAAAAUAAAAAUAUCAAUAUCUUAAUAAAUACUUCUUGCUUUUUCAUAAUACAUGACCCAUGGCACCUUCUAUUGCAAAGCUGUCUUGAAAUGUAUUCAAUUUGGUUGUCACUUGCAAUGCUUUGCAGCAGCAAUGUGCACAAUACACUUGCAGGACUGCACAGCUGCAGGUCUAACAAAACAAUAACAUGACAUUUGUUGUACAUGUACAGAUAGUUGAACGUCAUGGGUACAACUAUUUGUUUUGUUCCUAGGGAUUAUAUGCGUCUUUUUUCUAUAAUUGUAUGUUUUUCACCUCUUAGGCAUGUCCGCCAGGCGAAAUCGGUGGGCUGCCAUUCCUAUGAUUCCGGUAUUGAAAACUAUUGAAUAUUUCUGUAGUCUGUUGUCUCUAGUGCCCGAUUUACACAAAGAAAUUAUACAGAAAUAUCUCUUAAAACAUGUCCAUGUGUUGAAAGUAUCGAUCGGUAUAUUUAAUAUUGUGUUUUUAUAAAAGUUACAUAGAUGUUUACAUCGUAUCAUGGAAUGCUCCUUCUUGGAUUUUACAAUGGACCUGAUAAAUUAAUACGCGCCCAGUUUUAGCAGUUCCGAUUGAAAUAAACUCCUGUUAUUUCUUUUGAAGAUUUCAAAGUUAGAGAGGAAAUGCUUCUAAUGACAGAGGUUUUGUCCAUGUUGGUUUGUCUCAACAGUUAAUCUUUUGGAAAACAGUGUCAUCUUAACAAAAGAAUCUAUGGAGCUUUUCUGAUCAAAGGGUCUCUUGUGUCUGUUAACUCUGUUUAUCUGUCAUCCAUGAAAAUUAAACUCUAAAAUAGGGUAUCAAAUGGGAAUAUGUAGUAAAGAAAUUGUCUUUUAACGAGCCACAGGGUAAUGUUUUACUCAUAAUUCAGUGUGAGCAUUCUCAAAUGGUGAACAUUCAAGUUGGUCUAAAUCAUGAACCAGACCUAAUACAAUGUAUUAACAAUAUUAAAAUAUUCCCUAUUUGUAUUUUCAUUUUUUUUUCUUCUUCUGGGAUCAGAUUUUAUAUAACUGGUCAAUGUAUGUAUACAUACAUGGGGGGGGGGGGGGACAUUUUUCUUUAGAAUUAGCCUUGUUAGCCAUAUUGAUAAUGAAAUAUCCUCAUGUCGCGGAAUCAAUUUUGGAUUAGAUGUGGCCUUAUGACCCCUUGGUGGGGCCAAAAUAUUGGCUCAUAUUUGUUUUUCACGAGAAUUAAGGGGGAUAAGAAUGUCUUAGAAAUGUGAAGAACACCAGGACUCAAGUAAAUAUUGUGGGCCAAGUGUCAUUCAAAUUGCACACUUUCAUUACACAACAGAUUUUUAAUCUCUUAUUAGCAUAUUUGUUAAGGAGAAAAAUAAUAUUCUAACAUUAAUUUCCCUCUUUUGUACACACCAUUGUAAUGUAAUCCUUUUAAUAAAUUUGGGCUUUCAUAUAAAGUGCUAUUUAUAGAACAACAGUGAGUCUCUUUAAUUCUAUUUUUAACACAUUGCCAUGUGGUUGGCACUACUUUAAUGGCUAACAUUUUCUUGUUGACCUGAUGGUAUGCAUUUAAAGAAUUGUACCUGUUGCAGUGAGUUUACAUUUAAAACAAUGGUUCUUAACAAAUAGUUGUAGCCACUUUGCUUAUUUAUCUAUUUCAUAUUUUUUUGGAUUUUUUAAUGCACUACUAAAACCUGUGGCUGCGCAGUCCUGCAGGUGUAUUGUGCACUUCAUAGCUGCAAACUACUGCAUGUGUCAAUAUAGCUGCAUAUACCCAAAGAUAGUUUUCAUUAUGAAGAUAAAAUGGGCCAGUUUUCAAGUGUUUGCAAGGCUUAUUUUUAAAGAUAUUUAGGUUUUUAUUUUCAGUGAGUUUCACUUGGCUGCACACAAAAGCAAAC